CCUACGGGAGGCAGCAGUGGGGGAUAUUGCACAAUGGGGGAAACCCUGAUGCAGCGACGCCGCGUGUGGGAAGACGGUCCUCUGGAUUGUAAACCACUGUCACCAGGGACGAAGAUGACGGUACCGGGGGAGGAAGCGCCGGCUAACUACGUGCCAGCAGCCGCGGUAAGACGUCGGGAGCGAGCGUUGUCCGGAAGUACGGGGGGUAAAGGGAGCGUCGGAGGGACUGCAAGUUGGGUGUCCAAUCUACCGGCUCAACCGGUAGCCGCACUCAAAACUGCAGUUCUUGAGUGAAGUAGAGGCAGGCGGAAUUCCUAGUGUAGCGGUUCACUUCGUAGAUCUUCGGAGGAACACCAGUGGCGCAGGCGUCCUGCUGGGCUUUUCCUGCCGCUGAGGCUCGAACGUGUGGGGAGCACACCGGCUUAGAUACCCUUGUAGUC
rnacentral:rRNA from 1 species